rnacentral:piRNA from 1 species
UAGAUGUAGCUUUGUGGCAAGGUGUUUGGG